ensembl:lncRNA
CGAAAAGAGACGGCUUCCCAAGACACAUUCCUGUCUGAGAUCGACUAGGCAGCCUGCCAAGACAUGUUCCUGUCUGAGGUCGAUGAGGCGACCUCCUACACCAAGUUCCUGUCUGAAGUCGACGACGCGAUCUCCCAUGCCAAGUUCCAGUUAAAGAUCGACGAGGUGACCUCCCAAGACAGGUUCCAGUCUGAGAUCAACAACGUGACCCCCCACGCUAAGUUCCAGUCUGGGAUUGACGAUGUGACCUUCCACGCUAAGUUCCAGUUUGAGAUUGACGUUGUGAGCUUCCAUGCCAAGUUCCAGUCUGAUGAGGCGACCACCCACACCAAGCUCCAGGCCAAGGUCGCUGACAUGGACAACAAAGUUAUGCUCAUUCCUGAGUCUGUUGACACAACCAACCAAGUUCUCCUCAUGCCUGAAACCGACGUCAUGACCAACCAGUUCUGCUCACACCUGAAACCAACAUCACGACCAACCAGGUUCUGCUCAUGCCUGAAGCCGGCAUCAUGACCAACCAGUUUCUGCUCAUGCCUGAAGCCAAUGUCAUGACCAACCAGAUACUGCUCAUGCCUGAAGCUGACGUUACGACCAACCAAGAUCUGCUCACACCCAAGUCUGCUGAUAAGGGACAAGCAAGUUCUGCUCACGCCCGAGUCUGCUGACACAGACAACCAGGUUCUGCUCACGCCCGAGUCUGCUGACACGGAUAACCAAGUUCUGCUCACGCCCGAAUCUGCUGACACGGAUAACCAAAUUCUGCUCAUGCCUGAGUCUGUUGACAUGGACAACCAAGCUCUGCUCACACACGAGUCUGCUGACACAACCAACCACGUUCUGCUCAUGCCUGAAGCCAACCUCACAACCAAACAGGUUCUGCUCACGCCUGAAGCCGUCGUCACAACCAACCAGGUUCUGCUAACACCUUCUGCCUUACUGCCCUGCUGAGAAUGUUGCUCCACACUCAAGAAGGGCCAACGAGACGGCCCACCAAGUCAAGCACCUGUCUAAAGCGGACGACACAACUUCCCAAGCCUGGGUCUUGCCUAAUGACCCCAGCGAACCAGCCCCAGCCCCCGGUCUGCUCCUUGGCCCCUCGAGGAACAUGUCACAUGUCAGACAAUUCCUGCAUUGGAACCUGAAGGUCUAUGAAGACAUUUGCCCAGAGGGCGCUUUGGGAAGCGUCCUUGGGAGGGGGGGAGGGGUUCUGUCAUAUCACAGCAAACCUACAAACAUGGCCACCAUGGACGGCAAUUCCCAGAACAAUCACAUUCAUUCUAAUCAUGCAUUAAAUUCACAGCACUCACAACCACAGUAUAAAGAGACUGUUUGAACACAAUGACUUUGUGAAUAUUGAGUGUUAUCACCAUACCAGGCGUUUGUACCCUGUUCCAUGUUUUGUUUCAUGUUCGUUGAUUUUGCUUCUUGUUUCUCAUUCUCGAUACUUGCCUUGCCAUGUUUAUGCCUGUUUGCCAAUCUCCUGACCCAUUGCCUGUUUCUUGACCUGGCUACUGUCUCAUGUUUUGGAUUUGUCUGCCUGUCUCUCUCUAGAUAAACUCUUAUCUGCAUUUGCAUCCAUCCUAACCUCCAUUACGUCAAUCUCGUGACACUAUACAGCUGCUCUUUUGCUGUGACAACUGACAUUUAGAUGCACAUCAAUCAUUAUACUAAAGAGGCCUUCAAG